AUGGUCCGCCAUAAUGGUUCUGUACUAAUUAAGUUACGACUUCUGAACUUUGAUGCAAUUUUUGGCAUAUGCACAUUUUGGCACGAUGAUGGGAUCAUGGAUCGAUGGUGUCAUUGUCAGCAACUCAAGCCCAAGACCAAGCAUAUUGUUACAAUUUACAGAAAAUGUGGGAUGCUUCAAAUGGGAAAUGUAUCAUGCUUAUGUGAGCCAAGUCAGCCAACAUUUCUGUUUAGAUCGGAACAUGGCGAAUUGGCAACCAAUGCAUCAUAUAUUUUGCCCAUUCACGAACCCGGUAAAUAUUUUGACAAUUUAAGACUACAAUACAUAUGUAUUUCACUAUAG
rnacentral:rRNA from 1 species